GACGAACGCUGGCGGCGUGCUUAACACAUGCAAGUCGAACGGAAAGGCCCUGCUUUUGUGGGGUGCUCGAGUGGCGAACGGGUGAGUAACACGUGAGUAACCUGCCCUUGACUUUGGGAUAACUUCAGGAAACUGGGGCUAAUACCGGAUAGGAGCUCCUGCUGCAUGGUGGGGGUUGGAAAGUUUCGGCGGUUGGGGAUGGACUCGCGGUUUAUCAGCUUGUUGGUGGGGUAGUGGCUUACCAAGGCUUUGAAGGGUAGCCGGCCUGGGAGGGUGACCGGCCACAUUGGGACUGAGAUACGGCCCAGCAUCCUACGGGAGGCAGCAGUGGGGAAUAUUGCACAAUGGGCGGGAGCCUGAUGCAGAAACGCCGCGUGCGGGAUGACGUCCUUCGGGUUGUAAACCGAUUUCGCCUGUGACGAAGCGUGAGUGACGGUAAUGGGUAAAGAAGCACCGGCUAACUACGUG
rnacentral:rRNA from 1 species